rnacentral:rRNA from 1 species
GACGAACGCUGGCGGCGUGCUUAACACAUGCAAGUCGAACGGAAAGGCCCUGCUUUUGUGGGGUGCUCGAGUGGCGAACGGGUGAGUAACACGUGAGUAACCUGCCCUUGACUUUGGGAUAACUUCAGGAAACUGGGGCUAAUACCGGAUAGGAGCUCCUUCUGCAUGGUGGGGGUUGGAAAGUUUCGGCGGUUGGGGAUGGACUCGCGGCUUAUCAGCUUGUUGGUGGGGUAGUGGCUUACCAAGGCUUUGACGGGUAGCCGGCCUGAGAGGGUGACCGGCCACAUUGGGACUGAGAUACGGCCCAGACUACUACGGGAGGCAGCAGUGGGGAAUAUUGCACAAUGGGCGGAAGCCUGAUGCAGCAACGCCGCGUGCGGGAUGACGGCCUUCGGGUUGUAAACCGCUUUCGCCUGUGACGAAGCGUGAGUGACGGUAAUGGGUAAAGAAGCACCGGCUAACUACGUG